CUACGGAAUAUGCGUCCGGGAAACUGGAAUUAAUACCGUAUACGCCCUACGGGGGAAAGAUUUAUCGGGGUAUGAUGAGCCCGCGUUGGAUUAGCUAGUUGGUGGGGUAAAGGCCUACCAAGGCGACGAUCCAUAGCUGGUCUGAGAGGAUGAUCAGCCACAUUGGGACUGAGACACGGCCCAAACUCCUACGGGAGGCAGCAGUGGGGAAUAUUGNACAAUGGGCGCAAGCCUGAUCCAGCCAUGCCGCGUGAGUGAUGAAGGUCUUAGGAUUGUAAAGCUCUUUCACCGAUGAAGAUAAUGACGGUAGUCGG
rnacentral:rRNA from 1 species